rnacentral:rRNA from 1 species
CCUACGGGAGGCAGCAGUGGGGAAUAUUGGACAAUGGGCGAAAGCCUGAUCCAGCAAUGCCGCGUGAGUGAUGAAGGCCUUAGGGUUGUAAAGCUCUUUUACCAGGGAUGAUAAUGACAGUACCUGGAGAAUAAGCUCCGGCUAACUCCGUGCCAGCAGCCGCGGUAAUACGGAGGGAGCUACCGUUGUUCGGAAUUACUGGGCGUAAAGCGUACGUAGGCGGUUAUUCAAGUCAGAGGUGAAAGCCUGGAGCUCAACUCCAGAACUGCCUUUGAAACUAGAUAGCUAGAAUCUUGGAGAGGUGAGUGGAAUUCCGAGUGUAGAGGUGAAAUUCGUAGAUAUUCGGAAGAACACCAGUGGCGAAGGCGACUCACUGGACAAGUAUUGACGCUGAGGUACGAAAGCGUGGGGAGCAAACAGGAUUAGAUACCCUGGUAGUCCACGCCGUAAACGAUGAUAACUAGCUGUUCGGGCUCUACGAGCUUGAGUGGCGCAGCUAACGCAUUAAGUUAUCCGCCUGGGGAGUACGGUCGCAAGAUUAAAACUCAAAAGAUAGUACGGCGUGNGAGAGCGACGACGACGACGAGGAGGAGGAG